GUGAUUGCUGGUUUAAAACCAGCCAAAAAACCAUAGAAGAAUAAGAAGUGCUCUGCAUCUCCCCUGGUCUUAAAUUCCAUCCCAACUUGAGAACCCCCCACUUACCUUGGAUAUGUAUGCAUUUGCAAGCGGGGAGUCCUCCUCAAGAAUCAUCUGUGUGUAUGUCUCACAUGGUGCUCCUAUUAGAUCUGUGAGAGAUCACUGACACAAUCGACUGGAGCUCCAUCAGGACCCAACACUCCAAAUUUUGUACAUGUUUUUCAGUGUUUCCCACUGUUUUUUGUUAUUUAGUGGUAACAGCAUGGAGGGGGCCGACAGCCAGCAGUUUUGAGAACAUUUAGCCAGAGGCUUAGCAGGGGUUUCAAUGAUGCUGUCAAUGGGUUUCCAGAUGACGGUUGGUCACUGAUGAGCAGUGACGGUGCUGAGGUUGUUACUAUUGCUAUCAACUCUACUAGUGGUAAAUGUAUUGUUGAUUGUUUUUGCUCUGGUCGUUUUCAGCUUAGUCAGAGGAUGUUCAGAUCAUGCAGAUAUAGUUCUUGGAGGCGGAGGGCAGAGGGAAGUUCACGUGUAGCAUUUUUUUGUGUUUUUGCUUGUUCUGUUUCGAUCAAACAGUUGUGCUGUAAUUUUUGUAUGCUUAUUUAGGUGCUACUGGAUUGCCCUCUCAGGAUAUCUAUUGUGAAUAGAGGAUGGGUUCCUCGUGGAUGGCAUGAUAAAAAAGUUAAGGAUCUCCAGAUCCUGGAUGAAGCUUCAGAGUCCCCAGAAGUUGUUAAGCCAUACGAAAAAGGUUCGUGGUGGAAGUUUUGGUCUAACAAGCCUAAAUCGUCUCCUGAGUUUGAAAAACCUAGGAUGCCACCUGUAAGGGUUGUUGGAGUAAUCCGUGGAAGUGAGAAGCCAAGCAUAUUUGUUCCAGCUAAUGAGCCCAAUAGUGGCCAGUGGUUUUAUGUGGAUGUUCCCAUGAUUGCUCGUGCUUGUGGACUUCCUGAGAAUACUAUUUAUAUAGAAGAUAUAAAUGAAGAUGUAUCUCCAACAAACCCUUAUCCUGUUCCACAAGAUGUCAACACCUUGAUUCGUCACUCGGUGAUGCCAGAUGACCAUCUUAAAUACACUUUUACAUGAUCUGUGAGAGAUCACUGACACAAUCGACUAGAGGUCCAUCAAGACCCAACACUCCAAAUUUUGUAAGAGCUGAAGUGCUUCCUAGUGGCUAUCUAAUUCGACCCUGUGAGGGAGGUGGCUCCAUGAUUCACAUUGUGGAUCAUGUUGAUUUAAACCAUUGGAAACAUGAGAUGGGGGGAAAGCCAUGGGAGCUCUGACUUUUUGGUUGGGGUGAAGAGUGGGCAGAGAUGAUGUGUUGUUUAUUUCGAGCAUGGGAAUUUUUUUUCUUCUGCAAAAAUCCAGGGGGCCUCAACUUUUUUGAACAGAGAAGCAUCAAUCAAAAUGAGAUGGGGGGCACAGAUGAGUAUACCUUUUCA